UACGGGGGGAGCAAGCGUUGUUCGGAUUUACUGGGCGUAAAGGGCGCGUAGGCGGUCGUGACAAGUCACUUGUGAAAUCUCCGGGCUUAACUCGGAACGGUCAAGUGAUACUGUCGGACUAGAGUACAGAAGGGGCAACUGGAAUUCUCGGUGUAGCGGUGAAAUGCGUAGAUAUCGAGAGGAACACCUGCGGCGAAGGCGGGUUGCUGGGCUGAUACUGACGCUGGAGGCGCGAAAGCAUGGGGGAGCGAACAGG
rnacentral:rRNA from 1 species